rnacentral:rRNA from 1 species
AAUACAUACCCUGGUAGUCCACGCCGUAAACGAUGUCGACUUGGAGGUUGUUCCCUUGAGGAGUGGCUUCCGGAGCUAACGCGUUAAGUCGACCGCCUGGGGAGUACGGCCGCAAGGUUAAAACUCAAAUGAAUUGACGGGGGCCCGCACAAGCGGUGGAGCAUGUGGUUUAAUUCGAUGCAACGCGAAGAACCUUACCUACUCUUGACAUCCAGAGAACUUAGCAGAGAUGCUUUGGUGCCUUCGGGAACUCUGAGACAGGUGCUGCAUGGCUGUCGUCAGCUCGUGUUGUGAAAUGUUGGGUUAAGUCCCGCAACGAGCGCAACCCUUAUCCUUUGUUGCCAGCGGUUAGGCCGGGAACUCAAAGGAGACUGCCAGUGAUAAACUGGAGGAAGGUGGGGAUGACGUCAAGUCAUCAUGGCCCUUACGAGUAGGGCUACACACGUGCUACAAUGGCGCAUACAAAGAGAAGCGACCUCGCGAGAGCAAGCGGACCUCAUAAAGUGCGUCGUAGUCCGGA